GAGCUCAGUUGGUUAGAGUGUGGUGCUGGCAAUGCCCACGUUGCAGGUUUGAUCCCCGUAAGAGACA